rnacentral:lncRNA from 1 species
GGGGGGUGAGAAGUACUAAUGAGAAUAACAUUAGCAAUACUAAUAGUUAAUGCUUUGGGCAACAAUGCCCAAAUCACAUUUUUCCUACCAAAUAAAAGACUAAUGUAAGAGAAGUGAAGAGAGCUCUAAUGAUAUCACAACCUUAUUAUAUAUCACAAUGAGAAUUCUCUUCCUAUUAUAAGGAUUAAGGAGUGAAGCAAAUGCGUUAUGACUAAAAUACC